UGUACAAUUGCCCAGACUAGGCAGACUGCUCCUCAGUUUUGCAGGAGUCAGAGCUGUGGAAAGCAGCAAAGACAGGGAUUGUUUGAUUCCCAGCAUUGUACCUCCGAGGAACCUGAUUCUGUGUUCUAUGCAGCAAGUAGGAUCCUGCUACUGAAGGUACUGCUUCUCUUUCAAGAUGCUUUAUAAUUGUGUAAUAAUCUCUGUUUGUUGCAAAAUGAAGCUUCUCUCCUAAAAACAAAAUAGAUGGGAGGGAGAAAUGAAUGAGCAGCUUUGAAGGAGAUGUGAUGACGUGACAUGAGCCUUUGCUGCUCAGUCUUUCUGCCAGGCAGACGUAACCACUGACAUCUGCAGGCUAAUGCAGUUAUUACACAUACUCCAAUUCACUGUAAUUGUCCAGAACAGGUAUGACAGAGAUUAUCGCUGUGCCUUUGCCUGUUGAAUUAACCCCAUCCAACACUGGAGAGGCAAGGAGGAUUGUUCCUGACAUCUGUAUGUGACAG